UGAAUUUUGAAUUCUGACUUGUCAUUAAUGAGACUCUCCUAUUGCUCCAUAUUCAAAGUGACUAAUAUUUCUUAAUAUUGUAACUGUGCAUUUCUGUAUAUUUUACGUUCUGUUUGGAUUUUUUUCUUGAAAUGAUAUAUGCAUCAAGAAGUAAUUUGACUCUUGAUGUUGACUGCUCGAUCAGAGAUCACCUUUCUUACGAACGUCUCUCAAAUAUUCGUCAAAGUUAUGUGAGAAUUACGAUGCGUCUGAGUGAAAAGUGUCUAGCUCCAAGGGAUUUGCUAAUGCUGCAGUCUUACUGGUUCUUUAUCAUGUUACAUACUUAAAUUUGCUAUUACAGUAUCAAAUUUCGAAUCAUCAAACUUGCAGUGGCGUGCGCACAAUGUAAAGGAACUGGGGUUAACUCCGUCGAUCAUUUCAACGGACGGUUUAAAGCCGGUGGACUAUGUUGGCUGUGCAGGUACUUGUACUAUCACUUGUACUCUUUGGUGAUUAUGGUUUCAUACUCUUAGUCGUCGUAUUUCUCCUGUAGUUUCUUUUCCUUUGAUUUUUGUUACUAUCUACUAUCUCUUGUACUUCGAUUAGCGCACUAUUGUCCUUUGGUUUCAUUCACUUUUAGGAUUUUGUUAUGAUUUCU